AACGCCACAGCCUACCUCAUUAAACACUAUAAAAGCUGAAGAGAAAUUUGGGAAAACCAGGGAAAGAGGAGUGAGCAAGAGAUUUUGGCUAUACCAGCUGAAAAAUCUUGUCUCCGCCUCGCCCUCACCUUUUCUUUUCUUCCGCCGCCGUAAAACUGCCUGCCCGUCACCAGAGACUGAACCUCUGCCGUCCGGAAUUGCACCGGGACCCUCCGUGCUACUCUGGGUGAGUUUUCCACCCUAAGCCCAUUUCUGAGAGGGACGGCAGGACCGAGACCUCUGCACAAGCCUGAGACUGGGCCGGGGGGAGCGACGGCGUGAGCUGCGGAGAAGCCACAUCCCGGCUGCAUUCCAGACCCCCUGCAGCUAAAGAGAUAACAUCACCGAAUAGCGGCGGCGGAGCCCGAGAAAAAAAAAAGGCGAAAGCUGCUUCUUUCUCUCCCUCUCCCCCCCCACACUCCACAAGUCAGCUCGGACGAAUAGUCUGACUGCCCCGACUCAGAAAAAGUCCCAAGUAUUAAAAUACCAAUGGACAUCAUGGAGCAGGAACCUUUCCUAAGUGAUAGCAAACCUGCUGACAGUGAGUAGAACUAACCUCUCGCAUGCCUGCUUGACUCUGACUUGCACUACAAAUAUAUAUCUAUAUAUUUA